AUCAAGUGAUUUAGAGGCGUAUGGUGGAUGCCUUGGCGCUUGGAGCCGAUGAAGGACGCAGCCGUGACGCGAUACGCUCCGGGGAGGUGCGGCAACCUUCGAUCCGGAGAUAUCCGAAUGGGGAAACCCGGCUGGCCGAUCAUCUGCCUGGCCUAAAAGCCAGGCGUACUAAAGCCGGUCAUCUCCGUCUGAAUAUAUAGGGCGGGGAAGGGAACUUAAGGGAACUGAACCAUCUCAGUACCUGGAGGAAGAGAAAGCCAAUAGCGAUUCCCCUAGUAGUGGCGAGCGAAAAGGGAACAGCCUAAACCCGGCGGAUGUAAAAGCCCGCAGGCGUUGUCCGUCCGGGGGUCGAGGGAGCCGCCUGAAAGACUCUGCGGAGCUUUCAGGAAGUUACAAAUCUCCCGCGUAGUUGAAGGAAGUGGAAACUUCCGCCAUAGAAGGUGAUAGCCCUGUAUGCGAAACGCGAGAGACUUCCGGCGGUUUCCCGAGUAACACGGGACAUGGACGACCUGUGUGAAUCUGGGAGGACCACCUUCCAAGGCUAAAUACUCCAGCGACCGAUAGUGAACUAGUACCGUGAGGGAAAAGUGAAAAGAACCCCGGGAGGGGAGUGAAAU
rnacentral:rRNA from 2 species